rnacentral:RNase_P_RNA from 16 species
GAGGAAAGUCCAGCCAUCACCCUAAACCCCGGUGCCGCAAGGCAUCGGCCGAGAGGCCGGACCCUGGCGCAGAAACGACACGUCUCCCGAUGGAUGAUAAUGAGGCCCCAAUUAAAGGGGUUGAUUGACAUCGGGAGGAUCGGUGAAACGGCCAAUCCGGGGGAUGCAAGGGUGAAAAUCUGCCAAUGAUAUGAGGCAGAGAUUGCCCGCUUAGAUGAAUGCUGCCUAAACAGAAGGUGGCUUA